GACGAACGCUGGCGGCGUGCCUAAUACAUGCAAGUCGAACGCAGUGGGGACGGGUGAGUAACACGUGGGUAACCUCCCAUCAGAGGGGAUAACACUUGGAAACAGGUGCUAAACCGAUACUGAUGGAUGGACCCGCGGUGCAUUAGCCAGUUGGUGAGGGAACGGCUCACCAAGGCCACGAGGCAUAGCGGACCUGGGAGGGGGAACGGCCACACUGGGACUGAGACACGGCCCAGACUCCUACGGAAGGAAGCAGGGGGAAUUCUUCGGCAAUGGACGAAAGUCUGACCGGGCAACGCGGCGUGAGGGAAGAGGGUUUUCGGAUCGAAAAACUCUUUUGUUAGGGAAGCGGUAUCUAACCAGAAAGCCACGGCUAACUACGUGCCAGCAGCCGCGGUAAUUC
rnacentral:rRNA from 1 species